rnacentral:lncRNA from 1 species
AGCCGCCGUUGGCUCUGGUGCCCCUGGGGGUGGGAGCACGAGUGGGCAGAGUGAUGGUGAGGCAGAGGAGGCGGCCCGGACCCGGCGAGCUCGAGGGAGCGCCCGGCUGAGAGGCGGGGGGCCGAGGGGCCCGGGGAGCGGGCGCCGCCGAGGGCCCUGAAAGCUGCAGGGCUGGGGGAGAGGAGACGCGUGUGUGGGGCACGGGGACCCCAGCCCAGCUCCCACUUGCAGACCUGGGCCGCGGGCUGCCGGCCGAGGGGCCGAGGGGCCUGGCUGCCCAGGAGGCGGGCCGGGGCCGCGGCCGGGGGCGCGGAGCGGAGUUAGGGUCGCCAGGCCGAGCCGAGGUGGGACGGACCGACGCAGAGAGGAAGGGAAGCCACCUGGCCUGAAGAUCCCGUCUCUAAGAUCCCAUUCUGAGAGUUUUGCUCUUGUUGCCCAGGCUGGAGUGCAAUGGUGUGAUCUUGGCUCACUGCAACCUCCACUUCCUGGGUUCAAGUGAUUCUCCUGCCUCAGCCUCCUGUGUAGCUGGGAUUACAGGCAUGCUCCACCACGACCAAUUUUGCAUUUUUAGUAGAGAUGGGAUUUCUCCAUGUUGUUCAUGUUGGUCUUGAACUCCCAACCUCAGGUGAUCCGCCUGCCUCCGCCUCCCAAAAUGCUGGGAUUACAGGUGUGAGCCACUAUGCCCGGCCUCUCUUAAUCUAUUUCUGAGAGUUCUGUUAAAUAUUCUGAUGUUUAAUCUUCAGUUAUAUGUAUUAGAUAUCUUCCACCAAAGUAUAGUUUGCCUUUUAAUUUUAUUAGAUUUUCUAUUGCAUGUUGAAAAGUAGGUGAUAUUUUUGUGUCUUAU